rnacentral:rRNA from 1 species
UAUUGGAGUUCGAUUAAGCCAUGCGAGUCGCGAGAAAUUAGAUUCUCGGCGUACCGCUCAGUAACACGUGGGUAACCUGCCCUAUGCUGGAUAAUAACCUCGGGAAACUGAGAAUAAUGAUCCAUAGUUCACUACGCCUGGAACGGUGAGUGGAUGAAAGCUCCGGCGGCAUAGGAUGGGCCUGCGGCGUAUCAGGUUGUAGGGGGUGUAACGUACCCUCUAGCCCUCUACGCGUACGGGUGUUGGGAGACAUAGCCCGGAGAUGGAUUCUGAGACACGAAUCCAGACCCUACGGGGUGCAGCAGGCGCGAAAACUUGGCAAUGCGAGAAAUCGUGACCAGGGAACUCCAAGUGCAUCGGGUAAGACCGGUGCUUUUCUUGACUCUAAAUAGGUCUUGGAAUAAGGGGUGGGUAA